rnacentral:rRNA from 1 species
GACUCGUCACACUAUCAUUAACUGAAUCCAUAGGUUAAUGAGGCGAACCGGGGGAACUGAAACAUCUAAGUACCCCGAGGAAAAGAAAUCAACCGAGAUUCCCCCAGUAGCGGCGAGCGAACGGGGAGGAGCCCAGAGCCUGAAUCAGCAUGUGUGUUAGUGGAAGCGUCUGGAAAGGCGCGCGAUACAGGGUGACAGCCCCGUACACAAAAGCGCAUGUGCUGUGAGCUCGAUGAGUAGGGCGGGACACGUGGUAUCCUGUCUGAAUAUGGGGGGACCAUCCUCCAAGGCUAAAUACUCCUGACUGACCGAUAGUGAACCAGUACCGUGAGGGAAAGGCGAAAAGAACCCCGGCGAGGGGAGUGAAAAAGAACCUGAAACCGUGUACGUACAAGCAGUGGGAGCACCCUUUGGGGUGUGACUGCGUACCUUUUGUAUAAUGGGUCAGCGACUUAUAUUCUGUAGCAAGGUUAACCGUAUAGGGGAGCCGUAGGGAAACCGAGUCUUAACCGGGCGUUAAGUUGCAGGGUAUAGACCCGAAACCCGGUGAUCUAGCCAUGGGCAGGUUGAAGGUUGGGUAACACUAACUGGAGGACCGAACCGACUAAUGUUGAAAAAUUAGCGGAUGACCUGUGGCUGGGGGUGAAAGGCCAAUCAAACCGGGAGAUAGCUGGUUCUCCCCGAAAGCUAUUUAGGUAGCGCCUCGUGAAUUCAUCUCCGGGGGUAGAGCACUGUUUCGGCUAGGGGGCCAUCCCGGCUUACCAACCCGAUGCAAACUGCGAAUACCGGAGAAUGUUAUCACGGGAGACACACGGCGGGUGCUAACGUCCGUCGUGAAGAGGGAAACAACCCAGACCGCCAGCUAAGGUCCCAAAGUCAUGGUUAAGUGGGAAACGAUGUGGGAAGGCCCAGACAGCCAGGAUGUUGGCUUAGAAGCAGCCAUCAUUUAAAGAAAGCGUAAUAGCUCACUGGUCGAGUCGGCCUGCGCGGAAGAUGUAACGGGGCUAAACCAUGCACCGAAGCUGCGGCAGCGACACUGUGUGUUGUUGGGUAGGGGAGCGUUCUGUAAGCCUGUGAAGGUGUGUCGUGAGGC